rnacentral:tRNA from 1 species
GCCCGGAUGGCGGAAUUGGUAGACGCGCUGGACUCAAAAUCCAGUAGUAGCAAUGCUGUGUGGGUUCGAUUCCCACUCCGGGUACGA